rnacentral:rRNA from 1 species
GACGAACGCUGGCGGCGUGCUUAACACAUGCAAGUCGAACGGUAAGGCCCUUCGGGGUACACGAGUGGCGAACGGGUGAGUAACACGUGGGUGAUCUGCCCUGCACUUCGGGAUAAGCCUGGGAAACUGGGUCUAAUACCGGAUAGGACCACUGCCUGCAUGGGUGGUGGUGGAAAGCGUUUGCGGUGUGGGAUGGGCCCGCGGCCUAUCAGCUGGUUGGUGGGGUGACGGCCUACCAAGGCGACGACGGGAAGCCGGCCUGAGAGGGUGACCGGCCACACUGGGACUGGGAUACUGCCCAGACUCCUACGGGAGGCAGCAGUGGGGAAUAUUGCACAAUGGGCGCAAGCCUGAUGCAGCGACGCCGCGUGAGGGAUGACGGCCUUCGGGUUGUAAACCUCUUUCAGCACCGACGAAGCGCAAGUGACGGUAGGUGCAGAAGAAGGACCGGCCAACUACGUGCCAGCCGCCGCAGUAA